UUAACAAAUUUGUAGCGACUCAGACAACACAAAAUUAUUGAGUUUGAAACCCUCUGGCAGGCACAGACCAGCCGAAGCCAGUGGUCAAAGGACCGGCCUGCCAAAGCAACAAAGGUAUGGUAAACAAAGGGUGGGAGAUCUACCCCGGAGGGCAAGUUCUCAGUAAUGAUCCUUCCGCAGGUUCACCUACGGAAA
rnacentral:misc_RNA from 1 species